GCUCCUGCAACGGUCAGAAAAACAAGGCCUUAUGGACAAGUCUUUAUAACUCAGGCCCCUUCCCAGCUUUACUUUCCAUCUUCUCUCUUUCCCUUCCCAACUUUCUUUCUCUGCGGAGAUCUUCUUCUCUCUUUGGUGCUUGUGCAUCUAAAUCUCUAUACCUUUCAUUUUCACUGCUUAUAUAUAUAUACAUAUACAUAUAUAUAUAUAUAGGGCAACAGAAACAGUGAGGCUGAUCAUCUUGUUUUCUGAUUUGUUUGUUUUCAUUUAUCUCUCAUGGAGUUUGGGAGAUUUGCUUGGCUUGUGUUGCUGGUUUGCUUUGGGUUGUGUUUCUCUUCCACACAAGGAUACAGAUUCUAUGUUGGUGGGGGAGAUGGAUGGGUCUUGAACCCCUCUGAGAACUACAUCCAAUGGUCUGGGAGGAACAGGUUCCAGGUCAAUGACACUCUAUAUUUCAAGUACAAGAAAGGAACAGACUCAGUGCUUGUUGUGAACAAGGAUGACUUCUUCAAGUGCAACACCAAGAACCCAAUUCAGAAGCUAGAUGGUGGUGACUCAGAGUUCACUUUGGAUAGGUCUGGGCCAUUCUACUUCAUUAGUGGGCAGAAUGGUAAUUGUGACAAGGGCCAGAAACUGUUCCUAGUUGUCUUGGCUAUUAGGCAUCACAAUAAACCAAACCCUCCUCCUGUUGCGCCCACAACUCCCCCUAGCACCAGCCCUACCUCCCCAUCUCCUCAGUACCCUCAUCACCCUCCUGGGGCCUCACCAUCACUAGCACCAGUGGCUAACCCUCCUGCCACCUCACCAUCACCAGUGGGCUACCCUCCUGCCACCCCACCAGCACACCAGUGGCCUACCCUCCUGCCACCUCACCAGCACCAGUGGGCUACCCUCCUGUCACCUCACCAUCACCGGUGGGCUACCCUCCUGCCACCUCCCCAUCACCAGUGGGCUACCCUCCUGCCACCUCACCAUCCCCAUCAACAUCAUCUCCAGCGCUAGCGCCAGUUCCGUCUUCAUCCCCGACUCUUUCUCCAUCUCUUUCCCCGCCCUCACCGCCCCCUGAGGGGUCCACACCGGCCCCGUCCGCAGGUUCCGAGGGCCCCACAACGCCGGGAACCGUUUCACCGCCACCCGGUACAGCGGACUCGACGGCUCCGAGACCGGCGGGGAGUGGAGCGUCGCAUAGUGUAACGGCUCCUUCGAGCGUGUUGGUGUCUUCCGUCGUUGUCUUUAUCAGUGUGGCCCUGAUGAGCAGCUUUGUGCAGGGUGGUGCUGUUUGAAAUAAUAAUGGAAUAAAUUGUGGGGUGUUUUUUUUAAUUUUUUUAUAAUGAUUUUAUUAGGAUUUCUUAGGUUUUUAUUAUUAUCUUAUUUUAGAUUUUAUUACAUACCCUAGAACUUGAGAGGAAUUUGUUUCGGGUUUAUUUUUAUUUGUUAGUUCAAUAAAAUCGUAAUAAUAAAUUAUUAUCUGAGAUA